rnacentral:tRNA from 1 species
CUGGCCCUCGCCGCCGCGGCCGCGCCCGCGGCUCUCAGCCGUGGGCCGGUGUGAGGCCGCGGCGGGCGUUCUUCGCCCGGGCCAGC